rnacentral:rRNA from 1 species
UACGGGGGGGGGCAAGCGUUGUUCGGAAUUACUGGGCGUAAAGGGCUCGUAGGCGGCCAACUAAGUCAGACGUGAAAUCCCUCGGCUUAACCGGGGAACUGCGUCUGAUACUGGAUGGCUUGAGUGUAGGAGAGGGAUGCGGAAUUCCAGGUGUAGCGGUGAAAUGCGUAGAUAUCUGGAGGAACACCGGUGGCGAAGGCGGCAUCCUGGACUACUACUGACGCUGAGUGAGCGAAAAGCCCAGGGGGGAGCAAAAC